CUGGCUCAGGACGAACGCUGGCGGCGUGCUUAACACAUGCAAGUCGAACGGUAAGGCCCUUCGGGGUACACGAGUGGCGAACGGGUGAGUAACACGUGGGUGAUCUGCCCUGCACUUUGGGAUAAGCCUGGGAAACUGGGUCUAAUACCGAAUAUGACCAUGGACUUCACGGUUUGUGGUGGAAAGCUUUUGCGGUGUGGGAUGGGCCCGCGGCCUAUCAGCUUGUUGGUGGGGUAAUGGCCUACCAAGGCGACGACGGGUAGCCGGCCUGAGAGGGUGACCGGCCACACUGGGACUGAGAUACGGCCCAGACUCCUACGGGAGGCAGCAGUGGGGAAUAUUGCACAAUGGGCGCAAGCCUGAUGCAGCGACGCCGCGUGAGGGACGACGGCCUUCGGGUUGUAAACCUCUUUCAGCACAGACGAAGCGCAAGUGACGGUAUGUGCAGAAGAAGGACCGGCCAACUACGUGCCAGCAGCCGCGGUAAUACGUAGGGUCCGAGCGUUGUCCGGAAUUACUGGGCGUAAAGAGCUCGUAGGUGGUUUGUCGCGUUGUUCGUGAAAACUCACAGCUCAACUGUGGGCGUGCGGGCGAUACGGGCAGACUGGAGUACUGCAGGGGAGACUGGAAUUCCUGGUGUAGCGGUGGAAUGCGCAGAUAUCAGGAGGAACACCGGUGGCGAAGGCGGGUCUCUGGGCAGUAACUGACGCUGAGGAGCGAAAGCGUGGGGAGCGAACAGGAUUAGAUACCCGGGG
rnacentral:rRNA from 1 species